rnacentral:rRNA from 1 species
CUAUGUGUUGUUGGGUAGGGGAGCGUUCUGUAAGCCUGUGAAGGUGGCCUGUGAGGGUUGCUGGAGGUAUCAGAAGUGCGAAUGCUGACAUAAGUAACGAUAAAGCGGGUGAAAAGCCCGCUCGCCGGAAGACCAAGGGUUCCUGUCCAACGUUAAUCGGGGCAGGGUGAGUCGACCCCUAAGGCGAGGCCGAAAGGCGUAGUCGAUGGGAAACAGGUUAAUAUUCCUGUACUUGGUGUUACUGCGAAGGGGGGACGGAGAAGGCUAUGUUGGCCGGGCGACGGUUGUCCCGGUUUAAGCGUGUAGGCUGGUUUUCCAGGCAAAUCCGGAAAACCAAGGCUGAGGCGUGAUGACGAGGCACUACGGUGCUGAAGCGACAAAUGCCCUGCUUCCAGGAAAAGCCUCUAAGCAUCAGGUAACAUCAAAUCGUACCCCAAACCGACACAGGUGGUCAGGUAGAGAAUACCAAGGCGCUUGAGAGAACUCGGGUGAAGGAACUAGGCAAAAUGGUGCCGUAACUUCGGGAGAAGGCACGCUGAUAUGUAGGUGAAGCGACUUGCUCGUGGAGCUGAAAUCAGUCGAAGAUACCAGCUGGCUGCAACUGUUUAUUAAAAACACAGCACUGUGCAAACACGAAAGUGGACGUAUACGGUGUGACGCCUGCCCGGUGCCGGAAGGUUAAUUGAUGGGGUUAGCGGCAACGCGAAGCUCUUGAUCGAAGCCCCGGUAAACGGCGGCCGUAACUAUAACGGUCCUAAGGUAGCGAAAUUCCUUGUCGGGUAAGUUCCGACCUGCACGAAUGGCGUAAUGAUGGCCAGGCUGUCUCCACCCGAGACUCAGUGAAAUUGAACUCGCUGUGAAGAUGCAGUGUACCCGCGGCAAGACGGAAAGACCCCGUGAACCUUUACUAUAGCUUGACACUGAACAUUGAGCCUUGAUGUGUAGGAUAGGUGGGAGGCUUUGAAGUGUGGACGCCAGUCUGCAUGGAGCCGACCUUGAAAUACCACCCUUUAAUGUUUGAUGUUCUAACGUUGGCCCGUAAUCCGGGUUGCGGACAGUGUCUGGUGGGUAGUUUGACUGGGGCGGUCUCCUCCUAAAGAGUAACGGAGGAGCACGAAGGUUGGCUAAUCCUGGUCGGACAUCAGGAGGUUAGUGCAAUGGCAUAAGCCAGCUUGACUGCGAGCGUGACGGCGCGAGCAGGUGCGAAAGCAGGUCAUAGUGAUCCGGUGGUUCUGAAUGGAAGGGCCAUCGCUCAACGGAUAAAAGGUACUCCGGGGAUAACAGGCUGAUACCGCCCAAGAGUUCAUAUCGACGGCGGUGUUUGGCACCUCGAUGUCGGCUCAUCACAUCCUGGGGCUGAAGUAGGUCCCAAGGGUAUGGCUGUUCGCCAUUUAAAGUGGUACGCGAGCUGGGUUUAGAACGUCGUGAGACAGUUCGGUCCCUAUCUGCCGUGGGCGCUGGAGAACUGAGGGGGGCUGCUCCUAGUACGAGAGGACCGGAGUGGACGCAUCACUGGUGUUCGGGUUGUCAUGCCAAUGGCACUGCCCGGUAGCUAAAUGCGGAAGAGAUAAGUGCUGAAAG